AUUGACCGCUGGCGGCAGGCUUAACACAUGCAAGUCGAGCUAGCGGCGGACGGGUGAGUAAUGUCUGGGAAACUGCCUGAUGGAGGGGGAUAACUACUGGAAACGGUAGCUAAUACCGCAUACCAUCAGAUGUGCCCAGAUGGGAUUAGCUAGUAGGUGGGGUAAUGGCUCACCUAGGCGACGAUUCCUAGCUGGUCUGAGAGGAUGACCAGCAACACUGGAACUGAGACACGGUCCAGACGCCGACGGGAGGCAGCAGUGGGGAAUAUUGCACAGUGGGCGCAAGCCUGAUGCAGCCAUGCCGCGUGUGUUAAGAAGGCCUUCGGGUUGUAAAGUUCUUUCGGUAGCGAGGCGUUAACUACAGAAGAAGCACCGGCGAACUCCGGGCCAGCAGCCGCGGUAAUAC
rnacentral:rRNA from 1 species